UGAGGUGCGAAAGCUUGGGGAGCAACCAGGAUUGGAUACCUUGGUAGUCCACGCGGUAAAGGAUGUCAAUUAGCCGUUGGAAUCUUUGAGAUUUUAGUGGUGCAGCUAACGCAUUAAGCAGUCCGCCUGGGGAGUACGGUCGCAAGGUUGAAACUCAAAUGAAUUGACGGGGGCCCGCACAAGCGGUGGAGCAUGUGGUUUAAUUCGAAGCAACGCGAAGAACCUUACCAGGUCUUGACAUGCUGAGAAAUUUCUAGAGAUGGAUUGGUGCCUUCGGGAACUCAGUGACAGGUGGUGCAUGGUUGUCGUCAGCUCGUGUCGUGAGAUGUUGGGUUAAGUCCCGUAACGAGCGCAACCCUUGUUCUUAGUUGCCAGCACUUAGGGUGGCCAUUUUAAGGAGACUGCCGGGGCCAACCCGGAGGAGGGGGGGGAUGACGCCAAUUCAUCAUGGCCCUUACGCCCAGGGUUACC
rnacentral:rRNA from 1 species